rnacentral:lncRNA from 1 species
UGCUCAUCAGACAUUGGGCAUAUAACAUGUUGGCCCAGCUGAGGAUACAAAGGUGAAAAAGAACCACUGGCCUCAAGCUUUUUUGAACUAAGGGAAUUUGAAAACAAAUGCAUCAUUGUAUAACUACAAAUGUAAUAAAUUCAUUGAGUAAUAAAAAAAAUGAAAUAAAAAAGAAAACGAAUGCAUUCCCUUUGCAGAUUUUUAACUUCAUGUCUCAAGUUUUUCAUCAUACUUUUCACCAUUUAUAUGGUUACAAAAUAAAUCAUUUCCAGCACAUCAUAAAUUUUAAAUAAAUCUGUUAAGAUCAUUCAUUUGAAUGUAUACAGUGACAUCAAAAUUACUAUAACAAUUUGUUAUAAUCAUCAUUUAAAAAAAUACCGUUCAAAUAGAAUAACUCGUGAGAGGCAGCAUGGCAUGAUAAUUAAGAGCAUAAACUCGAAACUGCCUGAUUUAUUAUUAGGAGGUUUUUUUAUACAUAUAUUAAAUUAUCUAAUGUUUAUAUCAUCUGUGAAUUUCAUUUCAGAGAAGUAAAUAUGCCACCCUCCGCUGCUGGCCGAGAACAAGUUACUACUUAACUAUUCUGCAUCUCCUUUCCUCACUUACAAAUAAGGAUAAAUGAUGGUACCAGCUUCGCAGAAUUGUCAGGAGGCUUAAAUUAGUACAUGAAGCUCUUGGAGACUGACUCAUUGCAAGAGAUAUUUAAAUUUGUUGUUGUUAUUAUGAUUAUUAAAGGUUAAUCAACUGAAAAGAGGUUUAUAGAAAACAAAAGAAAAGGGAUUAAAAGUCCUAAGUAAAUGAAGUACACGUUUAUACUUUUCCCUGAAAUAUAACAAAGAUAGCACAUCAAAUAAUGAAAAUACACGUGCCAUUUUACAUUUCUCAAAUUAGUUGUAGUGGGUACCAUGUGUUAAUUAGCUAGACUUUUGAGUCAAGGGACACUGUGAGGGGUAAGACUUAUGUUAAGAGCGGUAAAAGCAGGAGUUCCGCAAUGGCACAUCGGGAUUGGCGGUGUCUCCGCAGUGCUGGGACGCAGGUUCAGUCCCCGGCCCGGCACAGUGGGUUAAGAAUCUGAUAUUGCUGCAGCUGUGGAGUAGGUUGCAAUUAUGGCUCAGGUCUGAUCCCUAGCCUGGGAUCUCCAUAUGCUCUGUGGUGGCCAAAAAAGGGGAAAAAAAAAAAUAGAUGCCAAGUGCUGUCAGAGUGCAGAGAAAACAUCCUUUAUUCUGCUCCAGAGCAGAGUCAGGGGUAGCUCUAAGGCCUGUAGGAAUUCUAGAAUCUAGUGGGAACUUUGGGUUU